AUGUUUUGCAUCUCUAAUGGCUGCUAUGGGAGCCUCCUUUUGAUAGUUCAGAUACGCCACAUGGUCAAAGUUUCAAUUACUGGCAUAUGCAAGAUUUCAUCAUUCUAUGUGAAUGUUGGUCAUAGUGGUAUGGCCACUACUACUGCAAUUGUGGAUGGAGAUGCUUGCUUUUAUUUGUGUGUACGAGUUAAGUUCAGUGAUGCCUUGUUUUGUUACUUCAAGAGUUUUUCAUUUCAUUGUUGGCUUGACCAGCUUUAUUCUGACAGUCCAUGCCAAUCUCAUCUAGAAGAUCCCUUUGUCUGGUCUUUUCCUGCAUGUUACAGAAUUAGUUACAAAUAA
rnacentral:rRNA from 1 species